rfam:Penicillium italicum strain PHI-1 contig2666, whole genome shotgun sequence.
AGCAUGUUAGCUCAGGGGAAGAGCGCCGGGCUCAUAACCCGGAGGUACGUUUCACCGCAAUCAACUCACCCACAAACAUCAAACUAACAAUCUCUACAGGACCCUGGAUCGAAACCAGGACAUGCUA